rnacentral:rRNA from 1 species
AUUGAACGCUGGCGGCAGGCCUAACACAUGCAAGUCGAACGAGUGGCGGACGGGUGAGUAAUGUCUGGGAAACUGCCUUAUGGAGGGGGAUAACUACUGGAAACGGUAGCUAAUACCGCAUACCAUCGGAUGUGCCCAGAGGGGAUUAGCUAGUUGGGGGGGUAAAGGCUCACCAAGGCGACGAUCCCUCGCUGGUCUGAGAGGAUGACCAGCCACAGUGGAACUGAGACACGGUCCAGACUCCUACGGUAGGCAGCAGUGGGGAAUAUUGCACAAUGGGAGCAAGCCUGAUGCAGCCAUGCCGCGUGUGUGAAGAAGGCCUUCGGGUUGUAAAGCACUUUCAGCUGGGAGGCGUUACUCGCAGAAGAAGCACCGGCUAACUCCGUGCCAGCAGCCGCGGUAAUAC